CCAUAUUUCCAUUUUUCAACUUCAGAGUUUCACAUUCUAAAGCGCAAAGUCGCGAAGCAACUUCGCUGGAGUGACGUCCUCCUCUCCCCCGGCUGUUGUGACGCCCCUGCUCUCCUCUCCCCUCCCUCGCUGCUAGUCCAGCUGCUAUCUUUUCUUGCAUCUAGAACUCAUCGAUCUCAGCAAUAGUAGGUUGUCGAGUCAUGAAGAUGUGUCAUUGGAGCUGAGUUUGGCUGAAGAUUCAUCAAUUAUUUCGAAUUGACAGCCAGGGAAUGUUCCUCUUAAUUUGGUAUUAUCAUUUCAUUUUAUUGUGCUCUUAUGUUGAUUUAGCAGUUAAUUGGGAUUUUGGUUCUCUGAAAUUUAAGGUUAUAUGAUUCUCUCUUAUUUUUGUUAUCAGUUACAAACUUUUUGCACUGGUAUUGGAUCUGAUAGUUGAUGGAAAUAAUGCGAAAUUGCAGACUCUAUCUGUGAAAGAACACCACGAUGUCUACAUCCUACCAUCCCAAGCAAUGCUCUAAUACCAGCAUCAGCUCGUAGCUUGACCUGUAGCUUGUCUGGCAAAUUCAAACUCACGUUUAAAAAAUAGCACUUUAUAAUAAAUUUGAAUAAUUUGCAUACAUAGUCUAUAUGACAUAUAAUAACAACAGGCUGGAAUUACUAAUUAAUGGAUUCUUAUUUUCUUAAUGUAGGUAACUUGAGGGUUCCAUGGAGAGGAACCACAAGAGCGCGCUGAGAACAAUGUAGCAGACUGGCGUAUGUGAGGGGAGCUCCCCUCCCUAAUCUCAGCAAUUAGCAUUCAAUUGAAGUGAUAUACAUAAACUAUAAGAUACAAAACUAACCUCCAUCAUUCUGCUUUUGUUCAGCAUCGUAUGCAUUUGCUUGUAUGAACCAGAGGCACCGAAUGGGGUUGGUUUAGGGAUUGUGGUGUAUGAUGGUUGGUUUUUCUUCCUUGUGAGUAAUUAUGGCUGAUUGAUGUUGGUUGGGGUUGAUUGCGCCACAAAGAUAGAAGCAUAUUUGAAACCGGAUUGGUAUUCUUUUCCCUCAAUUGCUAACUUACCUGUCAUUCUUUCUGAAUCGUGAAUCUCCUCUCCAUCCCUCCUCUCUUUUGCACUUCAAAUUUUAAUAAUUAUGUGUUUCUCUUUACAGUGUACGGCCUAUUUUUCAGUGAUUAUUUACAUUUCCUUAUCUUUGCAAUUUAUUUUCUUCAAAGAAUGUCUUGGUUUUUGCUUAUAAUUUCUCAUUACUUCUUGGUCACUAGUAGAAACACCUCAAAAGUUUCCAAAACAUAUGCCCUGAUCUUUCUAGAACUGAGCAUUUAAUACAUGAAUUCAUGAAAAAAAAAUUUCAUCAACAAAAACUGAACUGCAGAUGCCCUGGUCAUGUGUAAAACAUGAGCAUUUUAUUUAUAAUCUGCUCCAUUUCUUACUUGACCGCAACAUUUGCUGAGAAAUAGGUAUUUGGGGUUUUUCAUGUUUGGAUUCAUAUCAGAUUUCUAGGUUAAUACAAUUCAAUUUAGUUUGAAUAUGAUCUUUCUAAUGUGAAUUUAAGAUAUGUCAUGUGUCUUAUGCAGUGAUACUUUAUUGGAUUUGAGAUUCUCAUGUGUCAUGUGCAAUAUAUUGCUGUCUUAUUUCAUCGAGUUACACUUGUUUUAUUUGAUCAGAAUUAAGCACUCAACGUAAUUUAUUUAUUAUGUAUUACAUAUAACUACAUAGAUAUAACUAUUCUCUAAUCAAUUACCCAUACUCAGUGUAUGUAGUGAAAAUCUAUGACGAAAACAACUAAUUAGGUAAUUUGGAAGUCUAUAAUAUAAGAGAGAAGAGUAGUGCAUAGUUUCAUAUAGCCUGAUAUAGCCUCAAGCUAUCUGUUUUAACUUUGUUUUAACUCUAACACAAGGUUGUUUGAUGCUCAAUUCUCCAGAGUAGGUUCUGGUUGCUGAACCUUAGGAAUUUAGUGGAAACACAAGCUUGCAAGUGUAGCAUAUUGAUCUACUCAUUUUGGUGGCACUUACAAAAUCUUAAUUUCAGGUCAUGCUUGUGCUUUCCACUUACUGUAGGACAUUGUUCAAAGAUUUCUGCCUCUAUGCUGAUACGACGCUUGCCACUUUAAGAUUUACCAUGCGGGCUUGGAUGUGUCUCAUUUGAGCCUGAAUUGCAGAACUAGGCUGAUGUGCUCAUGUGGUUGUGUUGUGCUGCUCCUGGUGCUCUGUUGCUGUUCUGAUGUCAUUUUGGUACUGCUGUUCUAUUCUGCUCUGGUCUGCCCCUGCCUGCACUUUGUUGUGUGAUCUGUAGUCUGUUUUACACAUUAUUGUUGUUGAAGCCGGUGGCCACGUAUCUGAAGAUCAUACAUCAGGGUGCAAUCAGUUUGUACAAAGCUAUUUUAGAUUAAUGUUGUCUUGUUUUGGCUUUGCUAGUUUUUUUUUUCCUUUUUUUGGGUAUGGCCCGUAUGGGUUGUAUAGUUUGGUUGGAUAGCUUAUUUGUUUUGUAUUUUUUGGCUUCAAAGUUGUUAAGAGGCCUAGUGUAUUUUAUUUGGUUGAGCUUGUACAAAAAUUAUUUCACAUUUGGUUAAUAAAAGUUUACUAUUUUCCAAAAUGAGCUUAUAGGUGAUCAGGCUUGUAAAUAAU